rnacentral:ncRNA from 1 species
GAGCUGGGGAGUACGGCCGCAGGUUAAAACUCAAAUGAAUUGACGGGGGCCCGCACAAGCGGUGGAGCAUGUGGUUUAAUUCGAUGCAACGCGAAGAACCUUACCUACUCUUGACAUCCACAGAAUUUGCUAGAGAUAGCUUAGUGCCUUCGGGAACUGUGAGACAGGUGCUGCAUGGCUGUCGUCAGCUCGUGUUGUGAAAUGUUGGGUUAAGUCCCGCAACGAGCGCAACCCUUAUCCUUAUUUGCCAGCACGUAAUGGUGGGAACUUUAGGGAGACUGCCGGUGAUAAACCGGAGGAAGGUGGGGACGACGUCAAGUCAUCAUGGCCCUUACGAGUAGGGCUACACACGUGCUACAAUGGUCGGUACAGAGGGUUGCAACGCCGCGAGGUCAAGCUAAUCCCACAAAGCCGGUCGUAGUCCGGAUCGGAGUCUGCAACUCGACUCCGUGAAGUCGGAAUCGCUAGUAAUCGUGAAUCAGAAUGUCACGGUGAAUACGUUCCCGGGCCUUGUACACACCGCCCGUCACACCAUGGGAGUGGGCUGCACCAGAAGUAGAUAGCUUAACCCUUCGGGGAGGGCGUUUACCACGGUGUGGUUCAUGACUGGGGUGAAGUCGUAACAAGGUAGCCCUAGGGGAACCUGGGGCUGGAUCACCUCCUUA